rnacentral:miRNA from 1 species
CUUACGAAAGAAUGAAGAGCAA